UUUUCCUGUCCCUUUGUGGGAGUAAGGCCUCCGGUAGACUACCGGGUUGAUAGGUCAGGGGUGUAAGCACAGCAAUGUGUUCAGCUGACUGAUACUAAUCGGCCGAGGUUUUUCCAUAU
rnacentral:rRNA from 1 species